rnacentral:pre_miRNA from 1 species
CCCUUAACUAUUAAAAGUUUUAUUUUGGUCCUUUAACUUACUUUUUGGUUUCGUUUUGGUCCCUUAACUCUUUCUCCGUCAACCACUUUGGUCCUUUAUGUUAGGAUGAAUGUAUUAGAGUUAAGGGACCAAAAUGAAACCAAAAAAUAAGUUAAGGGACCAAAAUUAAACCAAAAAAUAAGUUAAGGGACCAAAACGAAACUUUUAAUAGUUAAGGGACCAAAAGAAAACCCAAAAAUAAGUUAUGGGACCGAAACGAAACUUUUAAUAGUUAAGGAA